rnacentral:misc_RNA from 1 species
UGUGUCAUUGUUGCAAACAAAGAUAUACCCACCAAGAACCUCAUUCCUGGGCAGUGUCUCAGCAGCAGGCAAAGUCUUAAACCUUUUGUCAACAGCAUUGUUACCGUUGAUACUCUCAGUGUUUUUGUUAUUGCCAUAGCUGCUAGCGUCAUUUGUGUGGUUGCUACUGAACUUGCUAAAUGACAUAUUUCCCAAGCUGUUGACAUUGGAUUUCGGACAAACAGAAUUAACGUUGUGAAUGUCAUUACUGAAGGAGCUCUUGGUCGUAUUGUCAGUUAUCUUGGUAUCAAAAUUCAACAUGUUGAGGUAUUGGUUUUCCCACUUGUUAUCUUCCUGUAAACCAAGAUAAACCCUGAACCUACUUUCAGCUGAGCUUUUCGAAAGGUCAAGGUUAUUCACCCGCUCACCCUUGGACCUUAACUGCUCAGCCAAUUUUACAGUACCCGUUGUCCAUGUAUGAUCCUCCGAUACUUUUGAUUGUCCUCGAAGCUCAUCCCCGAAUUGCCAAUAGCUGCUCAUACCAUCCAUGUUGCGGAGUCAGACAAUUUAACUUACACCUCCAAAACCUACCUUUUUCUUCUCCAGGAAGACACAGAGAAGAGACGCUGAACACCAGUUCAAGUAUUUUGAAA